AUUCUUUUAGUAUAAUUAGUACAGCUGACUUCCAAUUAGCUAGUUUCGACAAUACUCGAAAAAGAAUA
rnacentral:tRNA from 1 species